AUCAUGAGGAAGUUGUGGAGCAGGGAUUUGGAUCCAAUCAUGGAGAUCUUAACUAUUUUCCUCUGAUGUGAGCUAAGUGAGUACAGUGUCUAUUGAAGACAUUCCCAGGCAAUAUCGUGGGGCUCAUUAUAAAAUAUGUUGUAAAUUAUAUUGUUGAAUUUAAUAGAAAAUUUUAAAGGAGCUUAUUAUGAGGUUGCAAAUAUUCUUUGUAACUAUUUAAAUAUGUUCUACAAAAUCCAUUACUUCUAAGGGUCUGUAUGGUAUUGGAGAGGUAAUGUAGUACUUACUCAUUGGAAAAAUGAUUUCUGGAGAGUUACAGCUUGUGUUGUUAUUGUUUUGGUACAAAUCCUGGUGCCAUCGCUUAUGAGCUUUGUGACAUUAACAACAUAACAUAAACUUCAUUACGACUUAGUGUCCUCAUGUCAAAAAGGACCCUUUAAUGUGUACUUCCUAAGGUUUUUAUAAGGAAUAAAAUAAUAGGUAUAAAUAUUUAGAACAGUGUUUGCCACAGAGGAAGUCAUCAAAAACAUUAUUUUAUACCAUAUAUAUUUUAUUUAUUUAUCUAUUUAUUUAUUUAGCUUUUGUUCUUUUAGUGCCACACCCAUGGCAUAUGGAGGUUCCCAGGCUAGGGGUCUAAUCGGAGCUACAGCUGCCGGCCUACGCCAGAGCCACAGCAAUGCCAGAUCUGAGCUGCGUCUGCGACUUACACCACAUCUCAGGGCAAUGCUGGAUCCUUAACCCACUGAGUGAGGCCAGGGAUCGAACCUGCAACCUCAUGGUUCCUAGUUGGAUUUGUUUCUGCUGUGCCACGACAGGAACUCCCUACCAUAUAUAUUUUAUUUUUUUUAAUUUUUUAAUUUUUUUGUUUUUUUGCCAUUUCUUGGGCUGCUCCUGCAGCAUAUGGAGGUUCCCAGGCUAGGGGUUGAAUUGGAGCUGCAGCCGCCAGCCUACACCACAGCCACAGCAAUACAGGAUCCCAGCCAUAUCUGCAACCUGCACCACAGCUCACGGCAACUCCAGAUCCUUAACCCACUGAGCAAGGCAAGGGAUUGAACCCUCAACCUCAUGGUUCCUAGUCGGAUUCAUUAACCACUGCGCCACAACGGUAACUCCCUACCAUAUAUAUUUUAAAAGGGGAGAACUAUAAAUAGGAGAGCUGAGAAUAAAAGCAUGGAAAUUUUUACCAGAUUAUCCUAUGAAAUGGUCCAGGAGCCCCUAAAGUAGUUGCCAAAAGGCCAUUUGCUGAUUAAAGCUAAUGUCUCAAAAGGGAAGGGUUUUAAUACUGAGAAACUUGAGAAAUAAAUGUAUUUUAUAUUUUCAAUGAAGAUAAAAUGAUAAAAAUCAUGUGACUUUAGUAGCCAAACACAUUUUUUAUCAGCGCAAAUGAAUAUAUGAAUUUUCAGGGAAAAGGGUUUUAAAUCAUAUUUCUAUGCCAAAGCAAUUAAAAUAAUUGUAUUUACUAUUUUAAAAUAUUUUAUCCACCCACAUAUCCUGUAGAAGAAGGAAACAUAACUGUCACAGUAAUAGCAAUACUUAGCAUCACUUACUGAGCAUUUACUCUAUCUGGCACUGUUUGAAGCAGGGUAGUUUAGGAUAGACAUAGGCAUAUGUAUGUACAAUAUUUAUGAAACAAGCUUUAAUGUGGGCUUGAAAAGGCCUUGCAAAUUAAUGAAUUGAAUAUUUUCAAAUACAGGCUUAUGUAUUAACUUUCAAUUCAGAAAUUGUAAAUAAAUCUAAGCCUUAUAGAUUCAGUUUUAUGAUAAAUGUCCUCAAGUAUUUCUUUUAGGGAAUACAAAGUUAUUACUUCUAUGCCAUCAACAUAUUCAUUUCAAGUGUUUAAAAAAUGUGUCAACCAACUAUUAAUCUAUUCUCAGUUAUUUCACAAGCAUAAAAAAUGAGUACGUUAAAAAAUUACUUAGGAAAAUCUAUUUUAAAUAUUUCCCCAAGACAAUGUACAUGGUUAAAUCCUAUCCUCCAUUUGGUAGAGUUUCAUUUACUAGGAAUUCUCAAUUCUAAACAUAGUGCCAGAUUUACAUAUUAUUUUGAUGAUUUAUCACAAGAUCUACUUGCUAGUGGACUUUCAGAUAUAUAUAAAUGCAAAGACUAGUAAAAUUAUAUUUUUUCCUAAGGAUUAAUUUUAUUUAUUGAAGAACAAAGAUCCUUUUUGAAGCUGUAUUUUUUUUGUGGGGUGAUGAGCCUUUUAAAAUAUUGUUAGACUACACAUGGAGUGGCAAAUGGUCCAUAGAACUAUUUCCACAUACUGUGAUUUCAUAUUAACUCCUUACUGAUUUUUUUAACUAUUUAAUUUUCCACUAUGGCUUGGUGUCUAGAAUCCAUUACAGAGUAAUAUGAAUACCCAAAUCCCAAUGUAUUCACAUGCCUUAUGACAUUAUAUAUAUUUUGUUGUUGCCUCCUUAUUAUAUAUAAUAUAUAUUUUUAUUGUUACCAUAUAUAUUUAUAUAUCUAUGUACAAUAUAGAUAUAUAUAGUUACCUUCUUUAAGUUUUUUUUUCUUUACUAUUCACUUUUAUUUCUGAAUUUUCCCAAUUUUACAAAUAGUUGUUUUGGAAAGUACUAUGAUAAAUAAAGAACACUCUGUAAUGUCCUAUGGGAUAAAACAAAUAAUUUAAGAUGAAGACCCCGAAUUCUACAUAGUCUAACUGACACAAGACAUCUAUGCAUAGUUACAGUCAAUAUUAAGGACAUAACAUAUGCAUAUAAUUUUGCCACUAACUUUCAAUUAUAUCAUUUUUAAUCCUCAUAAAAAUCAUGUGAAGUUAUCACUAGUCUUUUUUAUUGUGGAGGCCAUGAGCAGAUAAUUUUAAAUGGCUGAAUCCAGAUAGUCACAGCUAUUUUGACCCAAGUGCCCUGUCCUCUCCAUUUAGAAUGUCAACCGGAAUAGGAAAAGACCAGCUCAUUGUGAGGAAGCUUUUAAAAAUUACUUUAUAAGUUUUAUUAAAGUACAGUGGAUUCACAAGGUUGUGAUAAUUUCUGCUGUACAACCAAGUGACUUAGUAAUACAUGUACAGACAUCCACACUCUUUCAGAUUCUUUUUCCACAUAGCUUAUCACAGAAUAUUUGAAAAGAUCAAAAAAAAAUGAAAAACCCUCAGUCAG
rnacentral:lncRNA from 1 species